rnacentral:rRNA from 1 species
CCUACGGGAGGCAGCAGUGGGGAAUAUUGCACAAUGGGGGAAACCCUGAUGCAGCGACGCCGCGUGAGUGAAGAAGUAUUUCGGUAUGUAAAGCUCUAUCAGCAGGGAAGAAAAAAGACGGUACCUGACUAAGAAGCCCCGGCUAACUACGUGCCAGCAGCCGCGGUAAUACGUAGGGGGCAAGCGUUAUCCGGAUUUACUGGGUGUAAAGGGAGCGUAGACGGUGCGUCAAGUCUGAAGUGAAAGCCCGGGGCUUAACCCCGGGACUGCUUUGGAAACUGGCGCGCUAGAGUGCUGGAGAGGUA